UCAAUCAUGCAGCCCGGCCUGGCCGCGUGCGACCAGCGAAUCUUUUUCCUCAUGUGCGGGUCCCACCGCCACGUCAUCGUCUUCAAGCCCAGGCACCAAGCGUCGCACAGCACACGAACGUAACGCACAGUCAGUUUCUUCUGUUUACUCUUGAAUUGAUUCCCGGUGAUUUAAGCCACCAUUUGAUGCACCGUUUGUUGCUACUUAAGCUCCACACCGUCCUCUUCAUUUGCCCUCAAACCGCACAGACCGAGAGCCUCCAGGCUGCUCUAAUUUUACCUCGCAAUUCCACGGUACCGUCACGGUAAAUCGUCGAUUGCGCGACGGCGCCAUCUUCGACUGUGAGCACGUAGGCGAGAGGUUUUCCGGCGAGCAACUUCCGGCGAACUACUGCACCUCGACGCCGCGACUUUGUCAUCGAGUUUCCCUUGUCAAGCUGAGCUUCACCGUCUUCCCCGCCAUCGCCAAGGAGCACCGGAACGUCAACGCCGGCGACAUCAGACAAUACUGCUGCGCGUUCCCAUUGUGAUUGUGCUGAUUGCAACGAGUGUUUUUGCGAAGAGUGUACCAACUCCUCAUCUCACCAAGGCAAGUGACACACACCAAAAGUCCCAGUUUUAAUUCUUGCAUAGUAGUGUUUUUAUAGUAGACAUGUCUAGGGUUUAUGCUUUAUGCCUGCUAAUAAAUCCUAGUAGUUUAGGUACACCACUCCUAGACUCCUUUAGCCGCCAUUAAAUUUAGUUGUUACCUGCUAUGCUAUGGAAAAUGUUUUGAUAGAGGUUAAGGAAAAACAACUAAGUUUAAUGAAUUACCUGGGUGAAUGGUGGAGUUAUGGAGAGGGUGGCUGUAUCAGGGGGCAAGACCCUGGUGCUAGUGCACACUUGCGGAAAGUCACCCAGGCUUAAAGAGAUUGUAGACAAACCUUGCUCAUUAGCUUCACGUACAACCACAUGCUACUAUGGCUCUGGCUUGACAAAGUAUGUUGUAUGAACCCGGAUCCUAGGGGCCAGGUGGUGGUAGAGGGAUACUGUAGGUGGGGGCGUGGCCCUUAGGGAAUGGUUCGGGCGAUUACACACAGAAGGUCUCGGCCACGGUCUACACCUGUCCUUAAGCAAAAUGUGCAACGAGGUAGAAGGAUUGACCUGGCCAUGUGGGUAAAGGUGUACAACCUCUCGAGAGUGUAAAUCUAAGUACUUAGCCGUGUCCCCGGUUAUGGACAACUUGAGCGAACUGACAAGUCUUUGUUCGAAGAUCUCCUCAUCCCAAUUUCUUAAAUAAAAUUUGAAUGGGUGAACAAGGGUAGGAAGGUACAUUGGGGCUUUACCAAUGCUACUGUUAAUUUGGUACAUUGGGGUUUUACCAAUGCUACUGCUAAUUAGAUUGAAAGAAAAUGUUUUGAUAAAAGAUAGGGAAAAAUUGGCUUUAUGCAAAAUGAA